GGGUCAGUAGGUUGGUCGUGCCACCGGUACGUACUGGUCUCACUGAUUCCUCCUUCCUGAAGAACCGUAAUGCCAUUAAUUUGGUGCUGCGGGGAAACAGGACUGUUACUUUGGAAAAAUUAGAGUGUUUAAAGCAAGCUAACGCUUGAAUACAUUAGCAUGGAAUAAUGAAAUAGGACGAUCGAUCCUAUUUUGUUGGUUUCUAGGAUUGACGUA
rnacentral:rRNA from 1 species